GAGCAAUGACGACGGCUGUGCUCUUGUGACGGUUGGGUCUGUCACGAUCAUCUGACUUGAUGAUAUAAUAAAUCGCACUCCUGAGCUC